UAUGCCCUUUAGAUAAAUUUGAAACAUAGUCCCUUUUUCUAUUUCUCUCCCUAGCUAGCUCGAUCCUUGCUCUAACAUUUUCCCCGGAAUACUUCCCCUGAAUCCUCCUCUUAGCAGAUAAACUAAUUUUUUUUGAAGGAAAUAUUUCCUGAGGAAAAUUGGUAACGACUAUCGGAGGCGGCGUUCUUUGGCGCUUUUUAGAAGAUGGAAGUUCUUCUUCAUAAUCUUUCAAAUCACGUUUUAAUGAGUAAGAACCAGAGGAAGCUCGUACGCCGUUGCCGAACAUGGAUUGAGAAGGAUGAGAGUUUACGGGUUCACUAAAUAUUCGUUUAGGCUGAAGGCUUAAAUCAGAAAGUUCACCAUUUGUUCGAGGACGCCGGGUUUUAAUAAACGAUUCUUUGUUGCUUAACUUGCUUUUAACGUUAAACAUAUGAUUGUUUUCAGCCAAGAUUUUCUCAGACUCCACAGAAUUGGCAUUGGAAUUGAGAAAAGAGCGACGAUGACUUAUAAAUUCCUGAAUCUGCUUCAAGCGU